rnacentral:rRNA from 1 species
GAUGAACGCUGGCGGCGUGCCUAAUACAUGCAAGUCGAGCGAACGGACGAGAAGCUUGCUUUUCUGAUGUUAGCGGCGGACGGGUGAGUAACGCGUGGAUAACCUACCUAUAAGACUGGGAUAACUUCGGGAAACCGGAGCUAAUACCGGAUAAUAUUUUGAACCGCAUGGUUCAUAAGUGAAAGACGGUCUUGCUGUCACUUAUAGAUGGAUCCGCGCUGCAUUAGCUAGUUGGUAAGGUAACGGCUUACCAAGGCAACGAUGCAUAGCCGACCUGAGAGGGUGAUCGGCCACACUGGAACUGAGACACGGUCCAGACUCCUACGGGAGGCAGCAGUAGGGAAUCUUCCGCAAUGGGCGAAAGCCUGACGGAGCAACGCCGCGUGAGUGAUGAAGGUCUUCGGAUCGUAAAACUCUGUUAUUAGGGAAGAACAUAUGUGUAAGUAACUGUGCACAUCUUGACGGUACCUAAUCAGAAAGCCACGGCUAACUACGUG